CUGACAUCUUCUAACUUUAAAAAGUUAAAAAGUACCUCACCAAGUGCAUUGAUUCUCCUUGUCCUCACGUAUUGAGAGGGAAAGGUAGCAUCCUCACCACCUACUCUUUACAUGGCAGGUAACAUUUUAUAAGAAGGCUGUGUCUCUACAUCAAGCAACACAAUCCAGCUCUGCAUUACCACCUAGGACAAAACCACCACAUUCCCUUGAAAGCAGAACAGAACAUGAGAUUGGAUUCAUCGUGUCUCCUAAAUAAGAAGUUAUCGGCAACAGCAAGAAUGAGUAAGGAGGUUACGUCUAGAUGGCAGUGUUACUUCAGAAGAACAUGAAAAGCCCUUCCAGUUCUGCAUGGAUUAAACCUGAUUGACC
rnacentral:lncRNA from 1 species